rnacentral:rRNA from 1 species
GACGAACGCUGGCGGCGUGCUUAACACAUGCAAGUCGAACGGAAAGGCCCUGCUUUUGUGGGGUGCUCGAGUGGCGAACGAGUGAGUAACACGUGAGUAACCUGCCCUUGACUUUGGGAUAACUUCAGGAAACUGGGGCUAAUACCGGAUAGGAGCUCCUGCUGCAUGGUGGGGGUUGGAAAGUUUCGGCGGUUGGGGAUGGACUCGCGGCUUAUCAGCUUGUUGGUGGGGUAGUGGCUUACCAAGGCUUUGACGGGUAGCCGGCCUGAGAGGGUGACCGGCCACAUUGGGACUGAGAUACGGCCCAGACUCCUACGGGAGGCAGCAGUGGGGAAUAUUGCACAAUGGGCGGAAGCCUGAUGCAGCAACGCCGCGUGCGGGAUGACGGCCUUCGGGUUGUAAACCGCUUUCGCCUGUGACGAAGCGUGAGUGACGGUAAUGGGUAAAGAAGCACCGGCUAACUACGUGCCAGCAGCCGCGGUGAUACGUAGGGUGCGAGCGUUGUCCGGAUUUAUUGGGCGUAAAGGGCUCGUAGGUGGUUGAUCGCGUCGGAAGUGUAAUCUUGGGGCUUAACCCUGAGCGUGCUUUCGAUACGGGUUGACUUGAGGAAGGUAGGGGAGAAUGGAAUUCCUGGUGGAGCGGUGGAAUGCGCAGAUAUCAGGAGGAACACCAGUGGCGAAGGCGGUUCUCUGGGCCUUUCCUGACGCUGAGGAGCGAAAGCGUGGGGAGCGAACAGGCUUAGAUACCCUGGUAGUCCACGCUGUAAACGGUGGGUACUAGGUGUGGGGUCCAUUCCACGGGUUCCGUGCCGUAGCUAACGCUUUAAGUACCCCGCCUGGGGAGUACGGCCGCAAGGCUAAAACUCAAAGGAAUUGACGGGGCCCCGCACAAGCGGCGGAGCAUGCGGAUUAAUUCGAUGCAACGCGUAGAACCGUACCUGGGUUUGACAUGGAUCGGGAGUGCUCAGAGAUGGGUGUGCCUCUUUUGGGGUCGGUUCACAGGUGGUGCAUGGCUGUCGUCAGCUCGUGUCGUGAGAUGUUGGGUUAAGUCCCGCAACGAGCGCAACCCUUGUUCACUGUUGCCAGCACGUUAUGGUGGGGACUCAGUGGAGACCGCCGGGGUCAACUCGGAGGAAGGUGGGGAUGACGUCAAGUCAUCAUGCCCCUUAUGUCCAGGGCUUCACGCAUGCUACAAUGGCUGGUACAGAGAGUGGCGAGCCUGUGAGGGUGAGCGAAUCUCGGAAAGCCGGUCUCAGUUCGGAUUGGGGUCUGCAACUCGACCUCAUGAAGUCGGAGUCGCUAGUAAUCGCAGAUCAGCAACGCUGCGGUGAAUACGUUCCCGGGGCU